GGGGGCCUGCGGGAUCGAGGCCCGUUUCUCUCUUUGGUUAUCUAGCUGUAUGAGUGUUAUUGAGCUAUCAUAAAGCUAGAUAACCGAAAGUAGAAAUGACUUUCACAACUUCUCCGAGCUG
rnacentral:precursor_RNA from 15 species